rnacentral:rRNA from 1 species
ACGCUGGCGGCAUGCCUUACACAUGCAAGUCGAACGGUAACAGGUCUUCGGAUGCUGACGAGUGGCGAACGGGUGAGUAAUACAUCGGAACGUGCCCAGUAAUGGGGGAUAGCUCGGCGAAAGCCGGAUUAAUACCGCAUACGCCCUGAGGGGGAAAGUGGGGGACCGCAAGGCCUCACGUUAUUGGAGCGGCCGAUGGCUGAUUAGCUAGUUGGUAGGGUAAAGGCCUACCAAGGCGACGAUCAGUAGCUGGUCUGAGAGGACGAUCAGCCACACUGGGACUGAGACACGGCCCAGACUCCUACGGGAGGCAGCAGUGGGGAAUUUUGGACAAUGGGGGAAACCCUGAUCCAGCAAUGCCGCGUGUGCGAAGAAGGCCUUCGGGUUGUAAAGCACUUUUGUCAGGGAAGAAAUCCUUUGGGCUAAUACCCUAGGGGGAUGACGGUACCUGAAGAAUAAGCACCGGCUAACUACGUGCCAGCAGCCGCGGUAAUACGUAGGGUGCAAGCGUUAAUCGGAAUUACUGGGCGUAAAGCGUGCGCAGGCGGUUGUGUAAGACAGGUGUGAAAUCCCCGGGCUUAACCUGGGAAUUGCAUUUGUGACUGCACGACUAGAGUGUGUCAGAGGGGGGUGGAAUUCCACGUGUAGCAGUGAAAUGCGUAGAUAUGUGGAGGAACACCAAUGGCGAAGGCAGCCCCCUGGGAUAACACUGACGCUCAUGCACGAUAGCGUGGGGAGCAAACAGGAUUAGAUACCCUGGUAGUCCACGCCCUAAACGAUGUCAACUAGUUGUUGGGGAUUUACUUCCUUGGUAACGUAGCUAACGCGUGAAGUUGACCGCCUGGGGGAAGUAGGGACCGCAAGGUUAAAACUCCAAGGAAAUGGACGGGGAACCCGCACAAGCGGUGGAUGAUGUGGAAUUAAUUCAAUUGCACCGCGAAAAAACCUUACCUUACCCUUGACAGGGCAGGAACUUUCCAGAGAUGGAUUGGUGCUCGAAAGAGGACCUGCACACAGGUGCUGCAUGGCUGUCGUCAGCUCGUGUCGUGAGAUGUUGGGUUAAGUCCCGCAACGAGCGCAACCCUUGUCAUUAGUUGCUAGGAAAGGGCACUCUAAUGAGACUGCCGGUGACAAACCGGAGGAAGGUGGGGAUGACGUCAAGUCCUCAUGGCCCUUAUGGGUAGGGCUUCACACGUCAUACAGUGAUCGGUACAGAGGGUUGCCAAGCCGCGAGGUGGAGCCAAUCCCAGAAAACCGAUCGUAGUCCGGAUCGCAGUCUACAACUCGACUGCGUGAAGUGGGAAUCGCUAGUAAUCGCGGAUCAGAAUGCCGCGGUGAAUACGUUCCCGGGUCUGGUACACACCGCCCGUCACACCAUGGGAGUGGGUUCUACCAGAAGUGGAUAGUCUAACCGCAAGGAGGACGGUCACCACGGU